rnacentral:rRNA from 1 species
UACGUAGGGUGCGAGCGUUGUCCGGAAUUAUUGGGCGUAAAGAGCUCGUAGGCGGUCUGUCGCGUCGGUCGUGAAAACUUGGGGCUUAACCCUGAGCUUGCGGUCGAUACGGGCAUGACUGGAGUUCGGCAGGGGAGACUGGCAUUCCUGGUGUAGCGGUGAAAUGCGCAGAUAUCAGGAGGAACACCGGUGGCGAAGGCGGGUCUCUGGGCCGAUACUGACGCUGAGGAGCGAAAGCGUGGGGAGCGAACAGG